rnacentral:rRNA from 1 species
UACGUAGGGGGCAAGCGUUGUCCGGAUUUAUUGGGCGUAAAGAGCGUGUAGGCGGUUCGGUAGGUCCGUUGUGAAAACUCGAGGCUCAACCUCGAGACGCCGAUGGAAACCAUCGAACUAGAGUCCGGAAGGAGGAGAGUAGAAUUCCUGGUGUAGCGGUGAAAUGCGCAGAUAUCAGGAAGAACACCCGUGGCUAAGGCGGCUCUCUAGUACGGUACUGACGCUGAGACGCGAAAGCGUGGGGAGCGAACAGG